GCACAACGCGAAGAACCUUACCUGGUCUUGACAUAGUAAGAACUUUCCAGAGAUGGAUUGGUGCCUUCGGGAACUUACAUACAGGUGCUGCAUGGCUGUCGUCAGCUCGUGUCGUGAGAUGUUGGGUUAAGUCCCGCAACGAGCGCAACCCUUUCCUUAUUUGCCAGCGGGUUAAGCCGGGAACUUUAAGGAUACUGCCAGUGACAAACUGGAGGAAGGCGGGGACGACGUCAAGUCAUCAUGGCCCUUACGACCAGGGCUACACACGUGCUACAAUGGUCGGUACAAAGGGUUGCUACCUAGCGAUAGGAUGCUAAUCUCAAAAAGCCGAUCGUAGUCCGGAUUGGAGUCUGCAACUCGGCUCCAUGAAGUCGGAAUCGCUAGUAAUCGCGGAUCAGAAUGCCGCGGUGAAUACGUUCCCGGGUCUUGUACACACCG
rnacentral:rRNA from 1 species